CCUACGGGAGACAGCAGUGAGGAAUAUUGGACAAUGGGCGCGAGCCUGAACCAGCCAAGUAGCGUGAAGGAGGACUGCCCUACGGGUGGUAAACUCUUUCUAUAAAGGAAUAAAGUGCGGUACGUGACCAUUUUUCUACGGACUUCAUGGAUAAGGAUGGGCCAACUCCGUGCCAGCAGCCGCGGUAAUACGGAGUUUCCGAGCGUUAUCCGGAUUUAGUGGGUUUAAAGGGAGCGUAGAUGGGUUGUUAAGUCAGUUGUGAAAGUUUGCGGCUCAACCGUAAAAUUGCAAUUGAGACUGGCAGUCUGGAGUGCAGUUGAGGUAGGCGGAAUUCGUAGUGUAGCGGUGAAAUGCUUAGAUAUCACGAGGAACUCCGAUUGCGAAGGCAGCUUACUAAACUGCAACUGACAUUGAUGCUCGAAAGUGUGGGUAGCAAACAGGAUUAGAUACCCCGGUAGUC
rnacentral:rRNA from 1 species